UACAGAGGUGGCAAGCGUUGUUCGGAAUUACUGGGCGUAAAGGGCGCGUAGGCGGUCUUCUAAGUCUCGUGUGAAAUCCCUCGGCUCAACUGAGGAACUGCACGAGAUACUGGAUGACUUGAGUUCGGGAGAGGGAAGCGGAAUUCCGGGUGUAGCGGUGAAAUGCGUAGAUAUCCGGAGGAACACCGGUGGCGAGGGCGGCUUCCUGGACCGAUCACUGACGCUGAGGCGCGAAAGCUAGGGGAGCAAACGGG
rnacentral:rRNA from 1 species